rnacentral:rRNA from 1 species
UGAGCUCAAAUCAGGUAGGACUACCCGCUGAACUUAAGCAUAUCAAUAAGCGGAGGAAAAGAAACUAACAAGGAUUCCCCUAGUAACUGCGAGUGAAGCGGGAAAAGCUCAAAUUUAAAAUCUGGCGGUCUUCGGCCGUCCGAGUUGUAAUCUGGAGAAGCGUUUUCCGCGCUGGACCGUGUACAAGUCUCUUGGAACAGAGCGUCAUAGAGGGUGAGAAUCCCGUCUUUGACACGGACUACCAGUGCUAUGUGAUGCGCUCUCGAUGAGUCGAGUUGUUUGGGAAUGCAGCUCAAAAUGGGUGGUAAAUUCCAUCUAAAGCUAAAUAUUGGCGAGAGACCGAUAGCGAACAAGUACCGUGAGGGAA